CUUCAUUAUCUGUUGGUCUAGAUAGAAGGUUAUAGACAUAUGUGUGAAUACUUAUUUAUUUAGGUAACAAGAUAUAGGUUAACUUUAUUUUUCUGGGUAAAUGGUCUUAAUAUAGAUGUGUUAACUGUCCUUAGCUUAACAUACAGCAUAUGGCCUUUAGGUCUCUUGCGUUACAGCCAAGCUUACUUUAAUAUAAA